GGGUUGUGAGGUUAAGCGACUAAGCGUACACGGUGGAUGCCCUGGCAGUCAGAGGCGAUGAAGGACGUGCUAAUCUGCGAUAAGCGUCGGUAAGGUGAUAUGAACCGUUAUAACCGGCGAUUUCCGAAUGGGGAAACCCAGUGUGAUUCGUCACACUAUCAUUAACUGAAUCCAUAGGUUAAUGAGGCGAACCGGGGGAACUGAAACAUCUAAGUACCCCGAGGAAAAGAAAUCAACCGAGAUUCCCCAGUAGCGGCGAGCGAACGGGGAGCAGCCCAGAGCCUGAAUCAGUGUGUGUGUUAGUGGAAGCGUCUGGAAAGGCGCGCGAUACAGGGUGACAGCCCCGUACACAAAAAUGCACAUGCUGUGAGCUCGAUGAGUAGGGCGGGACACGUGGUAUCCUGUCUGAAUAUGGGGGACCAUCCUCCAAGGCUAAAUACUCCUGACUGACCGAUAGUGAACCAGUACCGUGAGGGAAAGGCGAAAAGAACCCCGGCGAGGGGAGUGAAAAAGAACCUGAAACCGUGUACGUACAAGCAGUGGGAGCACGCUUAGGCGUGUGACUGCGUACCUUUUGUAUAAUGGGUCAGCGACUUAUAUUCUGUAGCAAGGUUAACCGAAUAGGGGAGCCGAAGGGAAACCGAGUCUUAACUGGGCGUUAAGUUGCAGGGUAUAGACCCGAAACCCGGUGAUCUAGCCAUGGGCAGGUUGAAGGUUGGGUAACACUAACUGGAGGACCGAACCGACUAAUGUUGAAAAAUUAGCGGAUGACUUGUGGCUGGGGGUGAAAGGCCAAUCAAACCGGGAGAUAGCUGGUUCUCCCCGAAAGCUAUUUAGGUAGCGCCUCGUGAAUUCAUCUCCGGGGUAGAGCACUGUUUCGGCAAGGGGGUCAUCCCGACUUACCAAUCCGAUGCAAACUGCGAAUACCGGAGAAUGUUAUCACGGGAGACACACGGCGGGUGCUAACGUCCGUCGUGAAGAGGGAAACAACCCAGACCGCCAGCUAAGGUCCCAAAGUCAUGGUUAAGUGGGAAACGAUGUGGGAAGGCCCAGACAGCCAGGAUGUUGGCUUAGAAGCAGCCAUCAUUUAAAGAAAGCGUAAUAGCUCACUGGUCGAGUCGGCCUGCGCGGAAGAUGUAACGGGGCUAAACCAUGCACCGAAGCUGCGGCAGCGACGCUGAUGCGUUGUUGGGUAGGGGAGCGUUCUGUAAGCCUGUGAAGGUGUGCUGUGAGGCAUGCUGGAGGUAUCAGAAGUGCGAAUGCUGACAUAAGUAACGAUAAAGCGGGUGAAAAGCCCGCUCGCCGGAAGACCAAGGGUUCCUGUCCAACGUUAAUCGGGGCAGGGUGAGUCGACCCCUAAGGCGAGGCCGAAAGGCGUAGUCGAUGGGAAACAGGUUAAUAUUCCUGUACUUGGUGUUACUGCGAAGGGGGACGGAGAAGGCUAUGUUGGCCGGGCGACGGUUGUCCCGGUUUAAGCGUGUAGGCUGGUUUUCCAGGCAAAUCCGGAAAAUCAAGGCUGAGGCGUGAUGACGAGGCACUACGGUGCUGAAGCAACAAAUGCCCUGCUUCCAGGAAAAGCCUCUAAGCAUCAGGUAACAUCAAAUCGUACCCCAAACCGACACAGGUGGUCAGGUAGAGAAUACCAAGGCGCUUGAGAGAACUCGGGUGAAGGAACUAGGCAAAAUGGUGCCGUAACUUCGGGAGAAGGCACGCUGAUAUGUAGGUGAAGCGACUUGCUCGUGGAGCUGAAAUCAGUCGAAGAUACCAGCUGGCUGCAACUGUUUAUUAAAAACACAGCACUGUGCAAACACGAAAGUGGACGUAUACGGUGUGACGCCUGCCCGGUGCCGGAAGGUUAAUUGAUGGGGUUAGCGCAAGCGAAGCUCUUGAUCGAAGCCCCGGUAAACGGCGGCCGUAACUAUAACGGUCCUAAGGUAGCGAAAUUCCUUGUCGGGUAAGUUCCGACCUGCACGAAUGGCGUAAUGAUGGCCAGGCUGUCUCCACCCGAGACUCAGUGAAAUUGAACUCGCUGUGAAGAUGCAGUGUACCCGCGGCAAGACGGAAAGACCCCGUGAACCUUUACUAUAGCUUGACACUGAACAUUGAGCCUUGAUGUGUAGGAUAGGUGGGAGGCUUUGAAGUGUGGACGCCAGUCUGCAUGGAGCCGACCUUGAAAUACCACCCUUUAAUGUUUGAUGUUCUAACGUGGACCCGUAAUCCGGGUUGCGGACAGUGUCUGGUGGGUAGUUUGACUGGGGCGGUCUCCUCCUAAAGAGUAACGGAGGAGCACGAAGGUUGGCUAAUCCUGGUCGGACAUCAGGAGGUUAGUGCAAUGGCAUAAGCCAGCUUGACUGCGAGCGUGACGGCGCGAGCAGGUGCGAAAGCAGGUCAUAGUGAUCCGGUGGUUCUGAAUGGAAGGGCCAUCGCUCAACGGAUAAAAGGUACUCCGGGGAUAACAGGCUGAUACCGCCCAAGAGUUCAUAUCGACGGCGGUGUUUGGCACCUCGAUGUCGGCUCAUCACAUCCUGGGGCUGAAGUAGGUCCCAAGGGUAUGGCUGUUCGCCAUUUAAAGUGGUACGCGAGCUGGGUUUAGAACGUCGUGAGACAGUUCGGUCCCUAUCUGCCGUGGGCGCUGGAGAACUGAGGGGGGCUGCUCCUAGUACGAGAGGACCGGAGUGGACGCAUCACUGGUGUUCGGGUUGUCAUGCCAAUGGCACUGCCCGGUAGCUAAAUGCGGAAGAGAUAAGUGCUGAAAGCAUCUAAGCACGAAACUUGCCCCGAGAUGAGUUCUCCCUGACUCCUUGAGAGUCCUGAAGGAACGUUGAAGACGACGACGUUGAUAGGCCGGGUGUGUAAGCGCAGCGAUGCGUUGAGCUAACCGGUACUAAUGAACCGUGAGGCUUAACCUUACAACGCCGAAG
rnacentral:rRNA from 1 species